AGCGUACACGGUGGAUGCCCUGGCAGUCAGAGGCGAUGAAGGACGUGCUAAUCUGCGAAAAGCGCCGGUAAGGUGAUAUGAACCGUUAUAACCGGCGAUGUCCGAAUGGGGAAACCCAGUGUGAUUCGUCACACUAUCAUUAACUGAAUCCAUAGGUUAAUGAGGCGAACCGGGGGAACUGAAACAUCUAAGUACCCCGAGGAAAAGAAAUCAACCGAGAUUCCCCCAGUAGCGGCGAGCGAACGGGGAGGAGCCCAGAGCCUGAAUCAGCAUGUGUGUUAGUGGAAGCGUCUGGAAAGGCGCGCGAUACAGGGUGAGAGCCCCGUACACAAAAGCGCACGUGCUGUGAGCUCGAUGAGUAGGGCGGGACACGUGGUAUCCUGUCUGAAUAUGGGGGGACCAUCCUCCAAGGCUAAAUACUCCUGACUGACCGAUAGUGAACCAGUACCGUGAGGGAAAGGCGAAAAGAACCCCGGCGAGGGGAGUGAAACAGAACCUGAAACCGUGUACGUACAAGCAGUGGGAGCCCCACCACUAAGCCAGUGGUGAACUCCACAUACGCAUCCUUUGCUGAGGAUACGGUUAACGGAGCGAAAGCGACGUUCAGCCGCAAAAGAAGCAGAGGGGGCUUAGCGGUGGGGUGACUGCGUACCUUUUGUAUAAUGGGUCAGCGACUUAUAUUCUGUAGCAAGGUUAACCGCAUAGGGGAGCCGGAGGGAAACCGAGUCUUAACCGGGCGUUAAGUUGCAGGGUAUAGACCCGAAACCCGGUGAUCUAGCCAUGGGCAGGUUGAAGGUUGGGUAACACUAACUGGAGGACCGAACCGACUAAUGUUGAAAAAUUAGCGGAUGACCUGUGGCUGGGGGUGAAAGGCCAAUCAAACCGGGAGAUAGCUGGUUCUCCCCGAAAGCUAUUUAGGUAGCGCCUCGUGAAUUCAUCUCCGGGGGUAGAGCACUGUUUCGGCCAGGGGGCCAUCCCGGCUUACCAAUCCGAUGCAAACUGCGAAUACCGGAGAAUGUUAUCACGGGAGACACACGGCGGGUGCUAACGUCCGUCGUGAAGAGGGAAACAACCCAGACCGCCAGCUAAGGUCCCAAAGUCAUGGUUAAGUGGGAAACGAUGUGGGAAGGCCCAGACAGCCAGGAUGUUGGCUUAGAAGCAGCCAUCAUUUAAAGAAAGCGUAAUAGCUCACUGGUCGAGUCGGCCUGCGCGGAAGAUGUAACGGGGCUAAACCAUGCACCGAAGCUGCGGCAGCGAACGUAUCACCCAAGACAACUUUACACAGUUGACGACUGACGGAGCGAAGCGACGUCAAAGCGUUUUACAACGUCGAGUUGGCUUAGGGAUACGUUCGUUGGGUAGGGGAGCGUUCUGUAAGCCGUUGAAGGUGUGUCGUGAGGCAUGCUGGAGGUAUCAGAAGUGCGAAUGCUGACAUAAGUAACGAUAAAGCGGGUGAAAAGCCCGCUCGCCGGAAGACCAAGGGUUCCUGUCCAACGUUAAUCGGGGCAGGGUGAGUCGACCCCUAAGGCGAGGCCGAAAGGCGUAGUCGAUGGGAAACGGGUUAAUAUUCCCGUACUUGGUGUUACUGCGAAGGGGGGACGGAGAAGGCUAUGUUGGCCGGGCGACGGUUGUCCCGGUUUAAGCGUGCAGGUGUGUGUUCCAGGUAAAUCCGGUUCACUUUAACACUGAGGCGUGAUGACGAGGCACCACGGUGCUGAAGCAACAAAUGCCCUGCUUCCAGGAAAAGCCUCUAAGCCUCAGGUAACAUCAAAUCGUACCCCAAACCGACACAGGUGGUCAGGUAGAGAAUACCAAGGCGCUUGAGAGAACUCGGGUGAAGGAACUAGGCAAAAUGGUGCCGUAACUUCGGGAGAAGGCACGCUGACACGUAGGUGAAGUGGUUUACCCAUGGAGCUGAAGUCAGUCGAAGAUACCAGCUGGCUGCAACUGUUUAUUAAAAACACAGCACUGUGCAAACACGAAAGUGGACGUAUACGGUGUGACGCCUGCCCGGUGCCGGAAGGUUAAUUGAUGGGGUCAGCGCAAGCGAAGCUCCUGAUCGAAGCCCCGGUAAACGGCGGCCGUAACUAUAACGGUCCUAAGGUAGCGAAAUUCCUUGUCGGGUAAGUUCCGACCUGCACGAAUGGCGUAAUGAUGGCCAGGCUGUCUCCACCCGGGACUCAGUGAAAUUGAACUCGCUGUGAAGAUGCAGUGUACCCGCGGCAAGACGGAAAGACCCCGUGAACCUUUACUAUAGCUUGACACUGAACACUGGUCCUUGAUGUGCAGGAUAGGUGGGAGGCUUUGAAGUGUGGACGCCAGUCUGCAUGGAGCCAUCCUUGAAAUACCACCCUUUAAUGGCUGGUGUUCUAACGUGGGCCCGUGAACCGGGUUGCGGACAGUGUCUGGUGGGUAGUUUGACUGGGGCGGUCUCCUCCUAAAGAGUAACGGAGGAGCACGAAGGUUGGCUAAUCCUGGUCGGACAUCAGGAGGUUAGUGCAAUGGCAUAAGCCAGCUUGACUGCGAGCGUGACGGCGCGAGCAGGUGCGAAAGCAGGUCAUAGUGAUCCGGUGGUUCUGAAUGGAAGGGCCAUCGCUCAACGGAUAAAAGGUACUCCGGGGAUAACAGGCUGAUACCGCCCAAGAGUUCAUAUCGACGGCGGUGUUUGGCACCUCGAUGUCGGCUCAUCACAUCCUGGGGCUGAAGUAGGUCCCAAGGGUAUGGCUGUUCGCCAUUUAAAGUGGUACGCGAGCUGGGUUUAGAACGUCGUGAGACAGUUCGGUCCCUAUCUGCCGUGGGCGCUGGAAGAUUGAGGGGGGCUGCUCCUAGUACGAGAGGACCGGAGUGGACGCAUCACUGGUGUUCGGGUUGUCAUGCCAAUGGCAUUGCCCGGUAGCUACAUGCGGAAGAGAUAAGUGCUGAAAGCAUCUAAGCACGAAACUUGCCCCGAGAUGAAUCUUCCCUGAGCCUUUAAGGCUCCUGAAGGAACGUUGA
rnacentral:rRNA from 1 species